CAGCCGUAAACUAUGCGCGUUAGGUGUACUGGUGACCACGAGCCACCGGGGUGCCGAAGGGAAACCGUGAAACGUGCCGCCUGGGAAGUACGGUCGCAAGGCUAAAACUUAAAGGAAUUGGCGGGGGAGCACCACAACGGGUGGAGCCUGCGGUUUAAUUGGACUCAACGCCGGGAAGCUCACCGGAUAGGACAGCAGAAUGAUUGCCGGGCUGAAGACCCUGCAUGACUAGCUGAGAGGAGGUGCAUGGCGUCAGUGACU
rnacentral:rRNA from 1 species